rnacentral:rRNA from 1 species
GACAGAGGGUGCAAACGUUGUUCGGAAUUACUGGGCGUAAAGCGCGUGUAGGCGGCUAUGCAAGUCGGAUGUGAAAGCCCUCGGCUCAACCGGGGAAGUGCACCCGAAACUGCAAAGCUAGAGUCUCGGAGAGGAUCGUGGAAUUCUCGGUGUAGAGGUGAAAUUCGUAGAUAUCGAGAGGAACACCCGUGGCGAAGGCGGUUCUCUGGGACGGUACUGACGCUGAGACGCGAAAGCGUGGGGAGCGAACAGG